CAAGUCGAACGCGAAAGUCCCCUUCGGGGGACAAGUAGAGUGGCGUCCGGGUGAGUAACACGUAGGUAAUCUACCUUCGGGUGGGGAAUAACCCAGGGAAACUUGGGCUAAUACCGCAUAAUGCAGCGGCACCACAUGGUGACAGUUGUUAAAGCGGGGGAUCUUCGGAUCUCGCGCCUGAAGAGGAGCCUGCGGCAGAUUAGCUAGUUGGUAAGGUAACGGCUUACCAAGGCGACGAUCUGUAGCCGGCCUGAGAGGGCGGUCGGCCACACUGACACUGACAUACGGGUCAGACUCCUACGGGAGGCAGCAGUCGGGAAUUUUGGGCAAUGGGCGAAAGCCUGACCCAGCAACGCCGCGUGAAGGAUGAAAUCCCUCGGGAUGUAAACUUCGCAAGAAUAGGAAGAAUUAGUAGGGGUUAAUACCCUCUAUGAUGACGGUACUAUUUGUAAGCUCCGGCUAACUCCGUGCCAGCAGCCGCGGUAAUACGGGGGGAGCAAGCGUUGUUCGGAUUUACUGGGCGUAAAGGGCGCGUAGGCGGUCAGCACAAGUCAGUUGUGAAAUCUCCGGGCUUAACUCGGAAAGGUCAACUGAUACUGUGCGACUAGAGUGCAGAAGGGGCAACUGGAAUUCUCGGUGUAGCGGUGAAAUGCGUAGAUAUCGAGAGGAACACCUGCGGCGAAGGCGGGUUGCUGGGCUGACACUGACGCUGAUGCGCGAAAGCCAGGGGAGCGAACGGGAUUAGAUACCCCGGUAGUCCUGGCCUUAAACGAUGGAUGCUUGGUGUCUGGAGUUUUAUAGUCUCCGGGUGCCGUANCUAACGCGUUAAGCAUCCCGCCUGGGGAGUACGGUCGCAAGACUGAAACUCAAAGGAAUUGACGGGGACCCC
rnacentral:rRNA from 1 species